AAAAGGAAGGACUACGUGACCUGAUAUG
rnacentral:sRNA from 1 species